GCCGGCAGCUAGCUCUCUUCAACUCUCACAUGGUCGCCCACUGAAGCUAAGCAGGGCUGCGCCCGGUCAGUACCUGGAUGGGAGACCACAUGGGAAAGCUAGGUUGCUGCCGGAA
rnacentral:rRNA from 1 species